rnacentral:rRNA from 1 species
GCCUACGAGCAAAUCACCCUGAUUGCGCCUGAUCGCGUCUGAUCUCGGAAGCUAAGCAGUGUCCAGCCUGGUUAAUACUUUAAUGGGAGACUGUCUGUGAAUACCAGGUGUUGUAGGCU